rnacentral:lncRNA from 1 species
UGUAAUUUAUGCAUAUGGUUGGCUAUGUUGAAUCAUCUUGGAGGAAAGAAAAACAGAUACAUACAUUUACAAGUACAACCUUGAAGGUUGCGACCACAAUGGAAAACGAACGAAUACGUUAUUUGACCAAUUCCAACUUUAUUUUAGAAGAAAUGUAAACAAAUAAAAUAAGACGAAAAGAAAAACAAAUUUUCAGGAAGGCACUUUAAUUUUUGGUCCAUUAGCUGUGUGACCACUUUGAAGGUUUUGGGAAGUUGUGAUGGGCCAUUAGGGUAAACUGUGUCUGCGCCAGAAAAGUGGGAAAGGAUAAUGAAACUUUGCACUUUCAUUUAUCACUAAAAUGCUGAAGAGAGAUGUGGAAGAGAAUCUUCAUAAUUUACUGGAACAAAAAGCUAACCAAAUGUGAUUCAUCUAGGAGAGUGAUGAUUAACAAAGGAACCCACAUGUUCCUAACUGGGAAACAGACCAACUUUUCCCAGCUUUUCACUAUCUCAUUAUCAAAGCAACUUGACAUCUAACAACACCACUCGCCUUUCCUACCUUGACCAAGAAAUUUACUUCACAAAAUCGGAUAUUUUAUAUAAAAAUGUUCACACUUUCAUUUAUUACGCAAUUUGUUUCUCUAGUGUUAUCGUUUUAUAUAAUACUUGUAAAGAGAAUUAUGAAAUACUGUGUAUACACUUCCAGACUUUUAUAACAGACUAUUAAACUUACCUGCAUUAGGAUUAUUUCAUGUACAAUGAAAAAGCAGACACAUUUUUUUUUUUAUCAACGUUAAAAAU